rnacentral:misc_RNA from 1 species
ACUAUGAAAAUAUCAGGAGCUGGAAUUUUAACACAGAGAUACCAAAGGAGCAUAAAAAACUGAAACAAUGGCUUGAGCAAAAGAAUCAAGGGAUUAAGUAUCUUCGGCAGACCAUGAGGACGCACUGGCCAUUGUUUCAUUUUGUGGAUAUUAAUAAACUGAUUCUCUAGUACAGCCAUAUGGGGUUCAGAACCUCCAUAUGCAACAAUGUCCACUUGUAGAGAUGCCUGACGGGCAAGGGAAAGGGCAUGAUACUGCAUUCGAGGGCUGCGGCCUAUAUCGCCCAAUACAACCACACAUGCCCUUCCUCUCCUCUUCCCCAUCUUCUGCUUCUAACCAGAAACACAGAAGAAAGGAGACGCCUUGACGAGAGCAGAGGAAAGAUCAGAGCUCAAAGAAGCAAAGAACUUCAGCAAGCUGCGAAACGUGAACCGUGGAAGAGACGGACUAAACAUUAAACAUCUGCAUAGCACUUC